UACGGGGGGGGGCAAGCGUUGUUCGGAAUUACUGGGCGUAAAGGGCUCGUAGGCGGCCAACUAAGUCAGACGUGAAAUCCCCAGGCUCAACCUGGGAACUGCGUCUGAUACUGGAUGGCUUGAAUCCGGGAGAGGGAUGCAGAAUUCCAGGUGUAGCGGUGAAAUGCGUAGAUAUCUGGAGGAAUACCGGUGGCGAAGGCGGCAUCCUGGACCGGCAUUGACGCUGAACGGCGAAAGCUAGGGGAGCAAACGGG
rnacentral:rRNA from 1 species